AAUCAACGCUGGCGGCGUGCCUCAGACAUGCAAGUCGAACGAUUAAAGCUCUCUUCGGAGAGUGUAUAGAGUGGCGCACGGGUGAGUAACACGUAAGUAAUCUACCCUCGAGUGGGGAAUAACAACCGGAAACGGUUGCUAAUACCGCAUAAUGCAGCGGCACCGCAAGGUGACAGUUGUUAAAGAUUUAUCGCUUGAGGAGGAGCUUGCGGCAGAUUAGCUAGUUGGUAGGGUAACGGCUUACCAAGGCUACGAUCUGUAACCGGUCUAAGAGGACGGUCGGUCACACUGACACUGAAUAACGGGUCAGACUCCUACGGGAGGCAGCAGUCGGGAAUUUGGGCAAUGGGCGAAAGCCUGACCCAGCAACGCCGCGUGAAGGAUGAAGUAUUUCGGAUGUAAACUUCGAAAGAAUAGGAAGAAUUAAUGACGGUACUAUUAUAA
rnacentral:rRNA from 1 species